AAGUUACAAGCAACAGUGUGGAUGCCUUGGAGACAUCUGGCGAAGAAGGACGCGAUAAGCUGCGAUAAGCCCCGGGGAGCCGCAAAUAGGCAGAUCCGGGGAUUUCCGAAUGGGGAAACCCUGUCAGCAAUGACAAUUCCAUCCUGAAUACAUAGGGGUGAGAAAGCGAACCCGCUGAAGUGAAACAUCUCAGUAAGCGGAGGAAAAGAAAGCGAAUGCGAUUCCCUCAGUAGUGGCGAACGAAAGGGGAACAGCCCAAACCAAGAGGACUUGUCCUCCUGGGGUACGGGCCUCAAUGUGAGACUGGAAAGGUUAGGUGAAGUGUAUUGAAUGACACGUCACAGAGGGUGAAAACCCCGUAACCGAAAACCUGACCAGCUCUAGAGGUACCCAGAGUAGCACCGGACACGUGAAACCCGGUGUGAAAAAAACGCAGACCACUGCGUAAGGCUAAAUACACGAUGUCUACCGAUAGUGAAGAGUACCGCGAGGGAAAGGUGAAAAGCACCCCUGUUAGGGGAGUGAAAAGUACCUGAAACCUGUUGCUUACAAGCGGUCGGAGC
rnacentral:rRNA from 1 species